UUUUUAUUAAAGUAUAGUUGAUUUACAGUGUUGUGCUAAUUUCUGCUGUAUAGCAUAGUGACCCAGUUGAUAUAUAUAUAUAUCAACACACACACAUAUAUGUGUGUGUGUAUGCAUAUGUAUAUAUACAUAUGUGUAUCUAUAUGUGCGUGGGGUGUGUGUGUGUGUGUGUGUGUGUAUUCUUUCUCUCAUACUGUCUUCCAUCAUGUUCUAUCCCAAGAGAUUGGAUGUAGUUCCCUGUGUUGUACAGUAGGACCUCAUUGCUUAGCCAAGUGUGAUAUUCAAUGUGGGUGCCUGUCUACCCUCUCCUCACCUUAAUCCAAGUCCUAGGUACACCCUACAGUUUUGUCCAGUCACCUUUCUGUCCCACCUCCAGGCAUGUAGGGCAAACAGGUCAGCCCAAAAGACGAAGUCACGUUUAAGCCGAUGCCUAAAGAAUGAAUCAGAGUUAUUUAGAUUAGUCAGGUAGGCCAAUUGCUGUAACAACCCCAGAUCUUAGUGGCUUAGGCUAAUACACGUCAGCUUCCUGCUCCUGUCACAAUUGACUGAAGGUUGGUGUGACUCUGCUCCAUAAAGUCAUUCAGGGUCCCAGGAAGUAUGCAGGGGAGGUUUUAAUGGCCUGAACCUGGAUAUAGCAACCUACUUUACUCACAUUUCAUUGGUCUGAACUUAGUAUCUUGGUCACACCUCACUGCAAUGGCUGCUGGGGAGUGUAGUCCAGCUGUGUGCUCAGGAAGAAGAGGAACAUGGAUAUUGUUAUUGGAAGAGGUUCAAGAAGAUGAAGGAAGGGUACUCCAGAUAGAGGAAAGGUUGUACAGAGGUCUGGGGAAAAUCUAGCAAACCAUACUGGGAAAGCAGCACAUGCUCAGCCGGACUGUCAUUGGAUGUACAAGGAAGGAACAGUGACAGGAAGUGACGUCGGCAUCAUACUCACCCUGGCCCUUAAAGAGGAGAUAGGGUAGGUGCUUAUGCUCAAGAACAUCCGUUGGAUCAAAUGGCUAAAGUUUUUACAACUCACACUAUCAGUUAAUUCUGUGACCAUGUGAUUGCAUAGGGUUUUUUAAAUAAUGUUUAAAAUUUUUAUUUAUUGAUAGGUAACCCAUUCACAUGGUUUAAAAAUUUCUAAGUGCAAAUGAGUAAAUCAUGAAACUUUCCUUUCACUCUAUUUCUCAGGUGCCCACUUCUUCUCCCUGGAGGCAGCCAGUACUGUUAGUUGCCUGUAUAUUCCUCCAGAGAUGUUUUGUGCACAUGUAAGUACCAUAUGUAUUCAGAUUUUCCCUUUGCCCAUUUUUUUUGCUAAUUAUAGCAUGAAAUAUCGAGUGCCUUACUUCUGAGAGAUGUUUUUCAGUAUCGUGUGUAAAGAGCAUCUUCACCCUUGUUAUGCCAGCAAAGGAUUCCAUUGUAUGGAAUCUUAUACCAGCAAGAUAGUCCCUUAUUGAUGGACAUUUAGGCUGUUCUCAGCUUCCAAAUAAUCUUGCAUUAAUUAAACCUGUACACAUUCACUUCACGGAUGGGUGGGUCUAGUUGUAGGAAAAACUCAGAUACCUGGACCUUACAGGUCAAAAGAUCAUCCUCUCCACACGUGAGCAGACAUGAACCACCAGGCUGCUCCGCCUGCCCUAUCUAAGCUCUUCCCUGUUCCCACCCAGUGACGCAGACCUGGAUAACGCCCCAAAGAGGGGCUGAACCCCACCACAUGGCUCCUGGUGUGGCUCAGUGGCAAGAAUCACCCUUUCUUUGGGAGAUGACAUAUACUGUCUUCAAAGUCUUACUCAGAGACCUCUCAGGGAGGAUCAGCCCUUGAUCCUUCCCACAGCCCAACCUCAGGGACACCUGUUUCCAUGGCCUCUCUUCAUCCACCUCAUUCAUAUCCUCAGCUCCAGCCCACUGACUUUGCCCCUACCCCCCAAACAGGGGCAAAGCCCACAGCAGGCCAAGGAGGUUGUGGUAGCCAGAACAAUGCCCCCUUGAAAGUAUCCAUGUCCUAGUCCCCCAAUUUUGUGAAUGUGUUGCCUUCCAUGGCAAAUGGGACUUCACAGAUGUGAUGAAGUUAAGGCUGUUGAGAUGGGGAGGUGAUCCUGUAUUAACUGGGGUGGAACCAGUUAAUUACAAGAGUCUUUAAACUCUGGAAGAAAGAGGCAGAAAGUGAGAGUCAGAGAGAGAUUAGAAGAUACUCUGAUGCUGGCUUUGGAGAUGGAGAAAGAGACCAUAAGCCAAGAGAUGUAGGUGACAUUUAUAAACUGGAAAAGACAGAGGAAGUUAUUCUCCCCUAAAGCAUCCAGAAGGAAUAUAACCCCCCACCACCACCUUGAUUUUAGCCCAAUGGGACCCGUUUGGACAUCUGACUUCCAGAACUCUAAGAUAAUAUAUUUGCAUUGUUUUAGGCUCUAAGUUUGUGGCAAUCUGUGACAGCAGCCAUAGGAAACUCACACAGCAGUCCCUGCUCUACCCACUCAGUAGCCCAGUGCUGUCUCCCCACUGACUCUGCAGCCUUCUCCCUGCUCUCAGAUGACCUGGCCUCAAAUCCCAGUCUACUUACCUACUAGGUGCUCUUGGGCACUCACGCCAUCACUUUGAGCCUUGGUUCUCU
rnacentral:lncRNA from 9 species